rnacentral:rRNA from 1 species
AGAUGGCGACCGGCGCACGGGUGAGUAACACGUAUCCAACCUGCCGAUAACUCGGGGAUAGCCUUUCGAAAGAAAGAUUAAUACCCGAUGGCAUAAUAGAACCGCAUGGUUUGAUUAUUAAAGAAUUUCGGUUAUCGAUGGGGAUGCGUUCCAUUAGGCAGUUGGUGGGGUAACGGCCCACCUAGUCAACGAUGGAUAGGGGUUCUGAGAGGAAGGUCCCCCACAUUGGAACUGAGACACGGUCCAA